CCGCCCGUAUCCCUCCGCACCUCAGGUUCUCUUCACUGCUCAGUAUCCUGCCCCGCCUGCGUGGCUCCUGAGCGGCGUGCGGGACGCGUACCCUGCUGAGCGGGGCAAACCCGAGCUACUUCAGCAGGCUACCCAGGCAAUGGAGUGAUUUGAACACUCAUCUGCUCCCUGAUACAGCUGUAUUCAGUCAUAUCACCAUGUAGAGGCAACCUUUGGUCUACCCGCCAGGACAGCCAGCAUGCGAAAGAUUCUGAGGACAGAAUGUCACCAGAAUGAGCUACUCCCUACACUAACCAGAAGGUGACUGGACAAUUUACAUCAGCAUCCUUAUUGAUGGGAAGGCUGAAGAAUCAUUGUUGUUGUUACAUCCCUUCUGUGACUGGCUGCCCCAGGAACUGGCAGAGCUGAAGGCACAGGACACUGUAUGUAUACAGCAGUGGGAGCGGGAUUUCUGCUUUACUCUCUCUCACUUGAAGUCCUAAAAUUAAUUUGAUUUUUCGAAGGCAUUGUGUUGCUUUUAUUCAUGGAAAUUCCUACAGUGGCUGUGAGAUCUUUUGAAUGUUACAUGCUAAUUUGUCUUGUAUCCUAAGGUUAUAUCCUAGUUUAGAGGAUGUGUUCGGCAUAAUUUCUUUGAAAAUUUAUUUUGUGUCUUACUGUGAAUUCCUUCUGACAUUUUAUUGGCCGGUCGCUCAACAUUCUGGGUUCUUUCUGUAAGUCUUUGCAGGAAGUUUUAGUUUUCACUGUCCCAAAUAAUUUUAUAUCUUGUUACUGUAUUGACUAAAGCUGGCAGACUGAUGCUCUGCAUUCUUCUCUCUGAGGGUCUUUCGCUUCCAAUGAACCAGAGAUCCAGACAGGUGUAUCAGUAUCAUUGUGAUUGUCACACAGACAAAAAGCCAACAAUUUGCUCAGUAACACACAUCAAUUCUGGCAGCUUUAGAAUUAGAGCUUAGACCUUACCUCUCCGCCCAACCCUUUUAGCAUGCCUAGCAUGCCUUCUUUAUUUGCUUAUUAAAUCGGGAGCUGCUCUUCUGUAUAACUGUGGACUUAAUAACUUGGCAAUACAUUGUUUAGGAGGCCGAACUGGUGGAUAGUGGCUGCACAGAAACUUGGAACAGCAGUUCCAUUCCAUUCCGGCCUGGCCCCGGGCGUGUGGGGUUACGCAUUAAUGCUCAGUGCCCCUCAGU